GGGUGAGGUUCAAGUUGACAGAGAAAUGGAGGAGACUGUGGGUGAGGUUGAGGUUGAUGUUGAUGGUGAACAAGUCCAGUGUGAGGGAGUCAAUGAGGGUGAAGUACAUCAUACACAUGAGGCUGAAGUACAUGAUGUAGUUGAUUUUGAGCUACAUGAUGUACAUGAAGAUGANGAUGAGGAUGNGGUUGGAGAAGAUGNUGAUGAUCAUGGUGGAGAAGAUGCUGGUGAUGAAUCUAUUAGUGAAGAAAGUGAUGGUCUAGUAGAUGUCAGGGUUGACUGUGACAUGGGAAGUUUUAAAGG
rnacentral:lncRNA from 1 species